rnacentral:lncRNA from 1 species
AAUCAGGCCGCUUUGCUUCGCACUGCCCUCAGAGAAGCAGUGUGCCCAGAAGUCAAGUGUGAGCUCUUGAGUCAAAAUGCUUGGAUUUGAAUUCCAACUCUGCUGCUUACCAGCUGUGUGACAUGGGGUGAGUGAGUUACCUGACCUCUCUGUACCUCUAUGUCAUCAUCUUUAAAAUGGAGAGCCUGAAGAAGCCGGUUGCCAAGGUGACAGGAGCAGGAACAGCAGGGAGCUUGCCAUGGGGGAGGGGCUUUGCCCCCAAACAGCUGUCAGUGGGAGCAGUCCCAGCUGGGACUGGAGG